ensembl:misc_RNA Metazoa_SRP Metazoan signal recognition particle RNA
GCCAGGUGUGGUGGCGUGUGCCUGUAGUCCCAGCUACUUGGGAGGCUCAGAUAGGAGAAUCACUUGAGCCCGGGAGGCGGAGAUUGCAGUGAGCAGAGAUCGUGCCACUGCAGUCCAGCCUGGGCAACAGAGUGAGACUCUGUCUCAA